UGUUAAAAAUUACAUCUAUUUCUAUUGUUAAAAUCUGACGUGGUUGACAGAAAAAUUAGGCAGUUACAUGGGGCGUGCCAUGUGUACCUCAUUUUGACGUACAAAGACUAGUUUUUAACAGUAGAAAUGGAUGGAAUUUUUAACA
rfam:Gossypium hirsutum cultivar TM-1 scaffold5057.1_1, whole genome shotgun sequence